UACGUAGGGUGCAAGCGUUGUCCGGAUUUAUUGGGCGUAAAGAGCUCGUAGGCGGUCCGUCGCGUCGGAUGUGAAAACCCAGGGCUCAACCCUGGGCCUGCAUUCGAUACGGGCAGACUAGAGUGUGGCAGGGGAGACUGGAAUUCCUGGUGUAGCGGUGAAAUGCGCAGAUAUCAGGAGGAACACCGGUGGCGAAGGCGGGUCUCUGGGCCAAUACUGACGCUGAGGAGCGAAAGCGUGGGGAGCGAACAGG
rnacentral:rRNA from 1 species